rnacentral:misc_RNA from 1 species
CACGAAAGUCGGUAACACCCGAAGCCGGUGGCCCAACCCCUUGUGGGAGGGAGCUGUCGAAGGUGGGACUGGCGAUUGGGACGAAGUCGUAACAAGGUAGCCGUACCGGAAGGUGCGGCUGGAUCACCUCCUUUCUAAGGAGCAUCUAGAUUCCGCAAGGAAUCCAGAGCCACUACGUCGGCAAAUGUUCGACGGUGGUCAGCUCAUGGGUGGAACGUUGACUAUUCAGUACCUGCUGGUUCAGCCGGGACACGAGUACUGCUCCUCGGAGCGUGGAAAGUGAACCGAAUGAAUGACAGGUACUGGGCGCGCUGUUGGGUGUCUGAAGGUACGGCCGAUAAGGCUGCCUUCGACGCCGGCCCCAGUGAACUCGCCUUCAGGGCGGGGUGAUGGGUGGCUGGUCGUUGCUUGAGAACUGCACAGUGGACGCGAGCAUCUGUGGCCAAGUUUUUAAGGGCGCACGGUGGAUGCCU